CGCGCUUACACAUGCAAGUCGCACGAGAAAGCGGGAGCAAUCUCGCAAGUAAAGUGGCGUACGGGUGAGUAACACGUGGAUGAUCUGCCCUUUAGUGGGGAAUAACCCUGGGAAACCGGGGCUAAUACCGCAUAAGCCUGAGAAGGGAAAGCAGCAAUGCGCUGAAGGAGGAGUCCGCGGCCGAUUAGCUGGUUGGGAGGGUAAAAGCCUACCAAGGCAAAGAUCGGUAGCCGGCCUGAGAGGGCACACGGCCACACUGGCACUGAAACACGGGCCAGACUCCUACGGGAGGCAGCAGUGGGGAAUCUUGCACAAUGGGGGAAACCCUGAUGCAGCGACGCCGCGUGAGCGAUGAAGCCCUUCGGGGUGUAAAGCUCUUUCGGCAGGGACGAUAAUGACGGUACCUGCAGAAGCAGCUGCGGCUAACUACGUGCCAGCAGCCGCGGUAAUACGUAUGCAGCGAGCGUUG
rnacentral:rRNA from 1 species